rnacentral:rRNA from 1 species
CCAGAGAACUUUCCAGAGAUGGAUUGGUGCCUUCGGGAACUCUGAGACAGGUGCUGCAUGGCUGUCGUCAGCUCGUGUUGUGAAAUGUUGGGUUAAGUCCCGCAACGAGCGCAACCCUUAUCCUUUGUGCCAGCGGUUAGGCCGGGAACUCAAAGGAGACUGCCAGUGAUAAACUGGAGGAAGGUGGGGAUGACGUCAAGUCAUCAUGGCCCUUACGAGUAGGGCUACACACGUGCUACAAUGGCGCAUACAAAGAGAAGCGACCUCGCGAGAGCAAGCGGACCUCAUAAAGUGCGUCGUAGUCCGGAUUGGAGUCUGCAACUCGACUCCAUGAAGUCGGAAUCGCUAGUAAUCGUAGAUCAGAAUGCUACGGUGAAUACGUUCCCGGGCCUUGUACACACCGCCCGUCACACCAUGGGAGUGGGUUGCAAAAGAAGUAGGUAGCUUAACCUUCGGGAGGGCGCUUACCACUUUGUGAUUCAUGACUGGGGUGAAGUCGUAACAAGGUAAGCGUAGUGCU